rnacentral:misc_RNA from 1 species
UAGGGAUUGAGGCAUUUGUUGAAGCUCUUUUUGUGUUGUUGCGCUUAUGCAACACAAAAAAGCGACUGCCGAAAGCCCGACCCUUU